GGAAGAAUGAUUCAUGAGAACAAGGCGGAAUUAAGCCCCUAGUAUUCGACACGUGUCCCAAGUGCGUGAGGAAACGCAGUUUUAUUUCUGCGCUCGCCUCUCAGGCUUCACGUACGUACGAGUACGUGUGUUUGAAUUACAGGGUGUCUCAAAUAGAAUGACAAAGAAGAGAGAGAGAGAGAGAGAGAGAAAAAAUGAUCUUACAACAUCUCGUAACAGAAUACGAUACGUGGGUGUUGACCUACUAUUUCUAAAAUGAAUUAAUUCAAUCCCCCAAAAGUCAGGUAUGAAUUUAUUUUAAAAAUUCCGCUCACAUUAUACCUUGUGUCAGUAUAGAAUACGGACAUAAAACUUCGAGAAGAAAACUUUUAGUCAAUGAUCGCCAACGUAUGAUACUUUUUGAAAGCACGUUCAAUGAAUAUCUAUGAGUUACCGUUAACGGUUAGUCUAGACCAUUUAUUGUGAGUCACCCGGUAUAGUCACCCUGUUCAAGAUGGUAGGUAUGCACAUACAUACGUGAGCUCUUACGACUAAUUGUAAGUGCGGCAGGGCAACGGGCGAUAGUUUCCUGAACAGGUGACUGCCCUAACCUUAUACAAGGAAACAUUUGAACCACGUAAAAAAACUGAGCAACCAUUAGUAUCUCUCAUUUAAAAAAUUGCAUGAUUAGCUAAAAACAAAUAUCCUUAAGAUGAUUAUACUGCUGUAUAUGAGAAUCUUAUAGAAAUUUUGUAAUAUAACUCGUAUGAAUAUUCUGAUUAAACUUUCUUGCUUGUGUCUUGAGUUGGUUCUUAUACGUCACUGGGUAGAAUUAUUUAUCCGUUCACAGGGUUAUGUUCUCAUUGAAGAAAAGCAAAUCCAAAGGAUCCAGUAGUCUUUUGGCAGGGACCCUUGCGUUUCAUUCGGCCUAUGUACAGUCACAACCGGUUGCGUAUUUAAUUUGGAAUAGCAUCUGGCCGUGCAUUGUGAUAGACGGUAUACCGGGUGGAACGAAGGACAUUGAUAACGGAAAAAUUUUCAAUUUCAAACGAGAGACGCCGUUUUGGCUUUCACUAUAGGAAUCUCAUUGUUAUCGCUGUAC